rnacentral:rRNA from 1 species
AGUACGGCGAGUGAGCGGCAAAAGCUCAAAUUUGAAAUCUAGCACCUUCGGUGUUCGAGUUGUAAUUUGAAGAUGGUAACCUUGGGUUUGGCUCUUGUCUAUGUUCCUUGGAACAGGACGUCAUAGAGGGUGAGAAUCCCGUCUGAUGAGAUGCCCAUUCCUAUGUAAGGUGCUAUCGAAGAGUCGAGUUGUUUGGGAAUGCAGCUCUAAGUGGGUGGUAAAUUCCAUCUAAAGCUAAAUAUUGGCGAGAGACCGAUAGCGAACAAGUACAGUGAUGGAAAGAUGAAAAGAACUUUGAAAAGAGAGUGAAAAAGUACGUGAAAUUGUUGAAAGGGAAGGGCAUUAGAUCAGACUUGGUGUUUUACGAUUAUCUUCUCUUCUUGAGCUGUGCACUCGUAUUUCACUGGGCCAGCAUCGAUUCGGAUGGCAAGAUAAUGGCAGUUGAAUGUGGCUUCACUUCGGUGGAGUGUUAUAGCUUCUGCUGAUAUUGCCUGUCUGGAUCGAGGGCUGCGUCUUUUGACUAGGAUGCUGGCGUAAUGAUCUAAUGCCG